rnacentral:rRNA from 1 species
UACGAAGGGGGCUAGCGUUGCUCGGAAUCACUGGGCGUAAAGGGUGCGUAGGCGGGUCUUUAAGUCAGGGGUGAAAUCCUGGAGCUCAACUCCAGAACUGCCUUUGAUACUGAAGAUCUUGAGUUCGGGAGAGGUGAGUGGAACUGCGAGUGUAGAGGUGAAAAUUCGUAGAUAUUCGCAAGAACACCAGUGGCGAAGGCGGCUCACUGGCCCGAUACUGACGCUGAGGCACGAAAGCGUGGGGGAGCAAACAGGG